GACGAACGCUGGCGGCGUGCCUAAUACAUGUAAGUUGAGCGCUGAAGGUUGGUACUUGUACCAACUGGAUGAGCAGCGGACGGGUGAGUAACGCGUGGGUAAUCUGCCUUUGAGCCGGGGACAACAUUUGGAAACGAAUGCUAAUACCGCAUAAAAACUUUAAACACAAGUUUUAAGUUUGAAAGAUGCAAUUGCAUCACUCAAAGAUGAUCCCGCGUUGUAUUAGCUAGUUGGUGAGGUAAAGGCUCACCAAGGGGAUGAUACAUAGCCGGCCUGAAAGGGUGAUCGGCCACAUUGGGACUGAGACACGGCCCAAACUCCUACGGGAGGCAGCAGGAGGGAAUCUUCGGACAUGGACGAAAGUCUGACCGAGGCACGCCGCGGGAGGGAAGAAGGGUUUCGGAUCGGAAAACUCUGUUGGUAGAGAAGAAAGUUGGUGAGAGUGGAAAGCUCAUCAAGUGACGGUAACUACACAGAAAGGGACGGCUAACUACGUG
rnacentral:rRNA from 1 species